rnacentral:tRNA from 1 species
GAGGGUAUAGCUCAAAAGGAAGAGUGCCUGCUUAGCAUGCACACGGUCCUGGGUUCAACCCCCAGUGCCUCCU